CUAUGGGCUGUAGUCAAUUCAUGAUGCCUCCCAUUCAUAUAAACGUGCAAAAGUAUAAAUAUUGGUGUUACAUUUGUAUUUAUAUAUAACUUUUGCUGGUAAGGGGCAUCUGGUCAUAAUGUCACUUCACCAGUAUUGAGCAUUAGAACAUGGCUGAACAACAUUUCACUAUUUAGCACCCUAUGAUGCUAAGUACACAAGUCUCUUAAAAGCAUGUGGUGUUAGACAUAUGUAAAAUCAGUAUAGUACCAUAAAUCAAAGGAGGAAACACCAAAAACUCAGGCUAUGGAACUCACAAUAUUGAUCACAUCAAUGGAAAUUUUCAAAAGAUUCAACUUCAUUUUCAGCAAGGAGCCUAGGCUUCUGGUUUACAGAAGGCAUAUGAUUCUUGGCUCCAAAGAAUGAGAAAAUAUCUGAUCAUUUUGCUGCCAAAAACAUCACACAAAAGAUCAUGCUGGUGUUGGUACCUUGCCUUCUUCAACUUGAGAAGGUCUGAAAUUGAACACUCCAGCUAGUCCUCGUCCCUUGCCAACUGUUCAAGCUCUUGAAUUUUGCUUUUCAGGCUCUCCACCUCUCGUGACAAUGAGUCAUCUCUUUCCCUCAUUUGCUGAGAAAAAACACAAGGAUCUCAAAUAUAGCUCAAACAAAUUUCAAGAAGGAUGAAUUUCAGUUCAUUAUAAGAGCUAAUAGGGGUUUUUGAUCUCAACUCAUGAUGUAAUAGAACAUAAUUGUUUAACACCAGAAUCAAUAAAAUUCAAAUUAGCAAAUUACAACAGUUCCUUCUGCUGCUACAAAGAGCCAGGUAAAUCAGGGUGCAUUUUCAGGUUUGGUAAUAGAAAUGAUAUGUAAUUAAAGGGAUACUUGGUGCAUCCACCUAUCUUCUCUAAGAGAAGUAUGCAAGAGCAAUGAUGGAAGUGGCACAAAAUUGCUCCGUUAUGUUAUCCAGAAAGUGCUCGCUUUACUGGGCCCAUUCCAUGAAAUUACAUUGAGAUAGAAUAAGUAACCAUAACCUAAUUUAUAAUAAUAAUAAUAAUAUUUAUAAGUAAUAAUAAGAAUACUUAAAAAAUGGACCUUGUCAACUCAACCUCAAGAGUUAGCUCUUAAGAAUUUUAGUCAGUAACCAUAAACUUGAGAAAGAGAUGCAAAGGUAGAUGUUUACUGAGAUAACAUCACAGGAACAAACAUAUACUUUUAGGAAUGUUCAGUGUUUUUGGUUUUGGGUGAUAUGAAAGAGUUUGUCAAGACCAAACAAGUAACCGAAGAAUUCGAGAGACUACCUCCAGCUCUUGCCUGCGAAGUUCCUCCUUUUUGGCUUCGGAUCAAGAACUUCUUUGCACCUCAAAGUAAAGUGCAGCAACUGCAACUGUUUCAGCAAUUUAAGGAAGUAGCCAAAGCACAAAAUUAGACAACAUAAAGGUGCUAGAUGCAAGAUACCAAAGUCAAGGGCUAUUGCAUCACUCCAAACUAACCACCAUUAUUAAUAGAUUCAACCAAAUAUAAUGAUGCCCUCUCCAAGCUGUAUUGUUCAUGAUUCAUUACUGUCUCACUCACAAGAAAUUCACAAACAAAUGAAACAGAUUAUUUUUGUUACUACCUGUUGUUUCCUAUGCUUCGGUUAUCACAUUAUUUGAUUGUUGUUACUGUUCCUUGUUUUCUGAAUGCUAUGUAGUGUUUUCCCUAUUGUUUGCUAUGUCCUCAUUACUUUUGGAUUUUUCUCUUCAAACAACUUUGAUAUACAUUACUUGAGUCGAGGGUCUUUCAAAUACAAUUUCUCUACCUCCACGAGGUAGGGGUAAAGUUUGAGUACACUCAACCCUCCUCGGAUCCCACCACCUGUGGGAUUACACUGGGUAUGUUGUUGUUGUUGGAUAAAGCCAACUGGUUGCCCCUCAUUCUAAUUCAUAUUGUGUAUGAUUAUGAAAUGCUAAAGUAAAGCUUCCAGAUUUGCAAAAGAAUAAUAGACUUUCAGUGAUCAAAUCAUAUGUCACUUAUGUGAGGUGGAAGAUUUUUUAACACCUAUAAGAAGGGGAAGGUUUUUUAACUAAGCAGAGAAAGAAGAUUAGAGUGGUUCCAAUUGAAGAUGCUAACUCAAUCCUGUAAGCCCGAGACAUAAAAUCAUAGACAUAAUAAGCACAGAUGGAAGUAAGAAAAGGGUAUGAGUUCAUGUGGCAGCUGGUGACUGUUAGUGGUCCGAAGAUUUGAGAAGUCAAUAGAGGUUGAUGAAAAAUGCAGAAGAAGAGUAUAAAACAUAUUUACUCCUAACACAAGGAUAUAACGUUGGCUAUUGACAGAUGGCACCAUUAAGAAUCCAUCUCAAAUAAACAGUGAAAACCGUACACUUCCUACUAAACUCUAAAGACAUCCAGAAGGUCAAGGAAGUUGGUGAUGUGAUGACAGGGGAGCCGGCGACCGAAGCCCGGCUGAAUGGCGGCCGUAACUAUAAGUGAAAUUUCUUGUCGGGUUAGCUUAUAAGUUGCAAGUCACAGUGAUGUUUUAGGUAUAUUUAUCUGAAAGUGAGAUAUUAGGGAUGUCUUCAAUAUAAUAUGUAGUGUUUCUGUACGAUCUAAAUUUUGCAUUGACCACUCCUAAAAAUUUAGAAUAAGCAGUAAUUAAAAGGAAAAGAUUAACUUCUCUCGUGUUGGGAUGUCAAGAAAGUUACCUGAAAAUAUAUUUCUUGAGAAAUUUGAUGUGAACAAAAGAAAAGGAAAUCAAAAAUCAUGUUCUUGCAUUUGUCUAUGUGAAAGGAAAUGGAGUUUAAAACACAAACUAUUUGCUUUCAAGUUAUCAAAAUAUUUUUCUGGGAUUAAACUUAGAGUCAAGUCUUUCAUGUAAGACAGUUUUCAUUGCUUGCUGACUAACCACACAUAUAAAGUGUAAAUGAUUAUCAUCUGUACAUUCCUUUCCCUCUCUUAGCAACAAAGGAUAAACAGAUAAGCACUAGGGCCCAGGGGUUCAAGUGUAACUCUUGGUACUUUCCUUUUCCUUACUUAGCAACCCGUGAUAACUAGAAGAGAAGGAGAUCGGCACUAGAACCCAAGAGUUCAAGUCUAACUCAUCCAAGAGAGCUGAAAGGGAACUUACCACAUAAACUCAGUUCAAAAUUUUGUAGCAAAACCAGAAAGUGCAGUCAGCGUAAAAUGUUGGUUAAAAUUAUACUUGAAAUCUUUUUGCUCUAAUAUUUCAGAAAAUAAAAGAGAAAAUAUAGAAGUCUUCAUCUGCCAGUAUUUUUUUGACAAUCCAAUAGUGUGAAAUCAGAAUUGUGAGGAACAAGAGGUUAGGCCUUCUAAUUCUAAGUCAAUGUAAUGGGCUGUAAAGGAUACUAUUUGGACAAGCUGCGAAAAGAAGAAUAGUUUCAUAACAUGUCAGUACUCUAUCAACUGCCCAAAGAAACUGACGAGAGACCCUGGACUUUGAUUUUCUUUUAUCUUCCAUUUCAACCAUCAUUACACCAAAAUGUGUUCAAUCAGCACACUACCAACAUUGAUUUAGUAUUUAAAGUGGGUAUUCAACAAGUAUCUUUAAAUUAGAGGAGUUUUCAGACAAAAGGACUUUCUUUUCCCGCUUUCACAAGUAAACAAUUCACGAAUAAAAAUUACUCCCAAAAAAUCAUUCAACUGAGGUUCAUCAUAUGGAACUUGGAAGUUUUAGAUCAAUUUUGUGUUGAUAGCACUAAUCAUAAUUCAUAGGAACUACUAAGCUUCACACAGAUCACCCAAAGCAAUAUGCUUCUAUAUUUUGACGACCAUGUAAAUUUAGUUAUACACAAUUCUCAACUCAAAUCUGCGUUAUUUAACAGCACUUGACUUAGGAGCUACUUGCUCAUGCAUGAUCAGUCAGAGUAAUACUCAUAAGCAGAUAUUUCAGAUUUGAAGCAAAUUUUAAAGCUAGCAGUGUAUCUCGAGAUGGUAGGUAUGAGACUUUCAUGUAUAUAAGUUUCAGAGCUCUAAGCUUUGUGUUUCAAACUCUUCCUGGGAAAGGAAAUCACAAGGCAGUUGAACAGAGAAGGAUUCAGUGGACCUGUUGGAUCAGGCUUAUUCCCACAUAUUGAUACAACGAGACUUCAAUGCCCAAGAUUUCAAGGGCUAUGUGAAUCAUUAGAAGUUGCCACAGCUAGUCUGGGUACAAAGGUUGCUACAUCCAUACUGCAGUCGGAGUGAAUAUCGUAUUUAAAAUGCACUAGAAUUCAAACCUUAGUUAGCAAAGUGUAUGCUCUUAUCUAAACAAUAAAAUGUUAUGUAUCAGUAAACAAACAGAGGAAGCUUAGAGAACUAUCUAGACAUGUCAUUACGGAGUCAAGUGGGUAGAAAAUGUUUGCAGUUAUUGUAACCGUUACCUCAUCCUAAAAAAGUUUUUCGAAACAAAAUCGAUUUAAAUCUUAUUUAAGAUCAACAAUGUAUUAAGAGAGAUUGAGUGGAUUAUUAAUUUAAAAGGAAUUAUUAAACAAAUCGAUUAUAAAUAGUAACUAACAAUUUCACAUCUAAAAAAGCUAGAAAAAUAAAUUUUGAACAAAAGUAUGUAUAAUGAAAAAUAAAAGUAUUAGGGCCCUCUCUUAUAUUUCGAUUUAGUCCCCCAAUCUUAUUGAGUCGGCCUUAGAGCUCGUUCAUAUUGAUGGUCUCAAACUUGGAAGUUAGAGGGUCAAUCAGAAACAAUCUCUCUACAUCACAAAAGUAGGUGUAAGGCUUUUAAUCUUACCCUCCCCAGACUUUGCUUAUGGGAUUACAUUGAGUUUGUUUUGCUUUGUCAUGUCCUCAACAAACUUUGGUAUCACUCACUUGUGCCUCCAUAGAGUCAAAGGAACUCAGGUUCCUCAUAAACAGAACUCUCUGUGAAAAAUAUCCACAAAUAAGGAUAUCAAAAAUUCAAAGGACAACACAAGAAAUCUGCUUUUGAUAUCAUAGCUUACUCGUCCACAAUGCUAAUCUGAUCAAAUGAAUAAACAAUGUCUACUUAUACAAAAAUUAGUCACAUAAUGUAUCAGCAUAUGUUAACAAUAGUGCUUAUAACCAAAUUAUAACACAGACUUAUCUUUUAAAACGACAUCGUUGUACCCAAAUAUUCUUACAAAACAAGCGAUCAACUGCUCUUGUAUCACAUCUUCAGCAGGAAGCUCUACAUAUGUCUCAUUCUUCAAAGACGUAACACCUUUAUCGACAAUCCCACAAGGCACAAUAUGCUUAAAGUAGUUUAAAUCAGGGUCCAUGUUGAAUGCUAAUCCAUGAGAUGUGAUGCCAGAUGAAAUUCUAACUCCAAUCGCGCCAAUCUUUCUGUCCUCAACCCAAACCCCAGUUUCGCAUUUUUGUCCAGCCUGUGCUUUCACACCAUACAUAGAUGCCAAUUCAAUCAUGGUUAGCUCAAGCUUCUCAACGUACAUUCUAGCCCCUAAACCAAUAUCUCUCAACGAAACAAUGGGAUAUAAGAUCGCUUGGUGAGGACCAUGAAAAGUAAUGUCACCUCCUCUUUGCGUAUAGUGAAGUUCCACCCCUAUGGACUUGAGCUCGGUAUCAGGAAUGAGUAGAUUAUGAAUUGUUUCCCUUUUGCCAACUGUAUACGUCGGUGGAUGUUGUAGAGAUAAUAGGGUAUCAGUAAUUUUUAGAGCUUUUCUAUUAGAUGCCAACUUCUCUUGCAGCUUUAAUGCCUCCAGGUAAUUUAUCGUGCCCAUCUUCCAAACCUCAAGGUUGCGCCUCAUUUGCCUGAACAUUACGAAACAAUCAAUCAUUCGUGUAAGUGAAGAAUACUGAAACAAAAUGACAAGAUCACGAUAUCAGAUUUGGUGGCCGGAGCAGUUUCUCAGGUCACAAACUUAUCCCAAAUGUUAUACUCUACAUUUUCUCAAAGUAAAGACAAAGAUACGCGCAUAGAAGAGUUUAAAACAAAUCUGAACUAUUACAAUCCAAAAUAAAAGAAGUUCGAUAAAGAAAACUUACACUACCUAAACUAGCUUAUUAUAUGCUUCACCUGAUGUCUCGAGGUCUUGUCCACAAACGGCCUCCAUUCUCACAUUUGUUUUCUUCCGGGAAAUGGAUACAUAUAUUAGAAAGUAAAUAAAAUCACACAAGCAAUCAAAUGUGUCUCAAAUUUUGCCUACCUGAACCUCAUUCAAUAGACUAAUAUUGCAAUAAAACUUGUUCCAUAAUUUAAACAAAACUUAUUCUAAAUCAUUAAUCAAUUAGGCUUCUUUAAUCACACAAAUCAUCUUUCAUCCCAAAUUCACCUAUUUAGCAAACCAUUAUUAUUCCUUUUAACUAGUCUUCAUUCUAAACAAACAGAUUGUCCAUUCCAUGAAUCACAGAAUCACAUCGCCAGCAUAUCAAAUCGUAAAGGAAACGAAAAUGAACAUAGAAUUGAAGAAUUGGAGCCCACUUCUCUUUGCAAUUUUGGCUAUAAACAGAGAGCUCUGAGAACUCUGAUUGAGAACACACUCGGAGUGACCAAUGACCUCAAAUAGUACUCAUUAUUCUCAACAGAGACUCACACCAGAGAUAUAUACAUUUAAAAUCCAAUUUAAAAAUUUGUCUUUGAAUCUGAUUAUUCAAUGUAAUGCCAAAUCAAGAUUUGGGGUUUUCCUUUUUUUUCCUUCUGUUAUUAGAUAAAGUAAUCAAUUUCAUAAUUUAGUUUACAACAACAAGAAACACCCCUUUUACAACAUACAACCCUAUAUGCUCAAAACUCAAAAGUUAAGGAAGCUAACAAAGCAAGAUCUGUUUUUUUUCCUUCAUUGACCUACCAUACAUCAAACAGAAAAGCCCCUUGAAAGCAUAUGAGUGUUCCAUCAAAAUAUUCACCAAAAAUGGAUUUUAAGAAAAAGGGAAACACUCAAAUCAAUUCAAAGAAAACAAAGUAAGUUAAGGAAAUAUAUAUAAAGAUAAAUAAGGUAAAGAGAGAACCUACAAGAUUUUUCAAUCUUAUUUUCUGUUAAUUUUCCACUCCAUUUCUUUCCACCAUUUGCUUCUCACAGUUUUUCCAUUAUUGGGUUAUUGGUUGGAUUUUGAGUUUGUAAUAUGAGUUAUUGGGUAAAUUGAUAAUCUAUUAAAAUUACAAUAAUUUAUUAUUGUUAGCCUUAGAUAAACAUUAAAUUCACUAUCUUACUUAUUGCUCACUUUUCCUUUUAACUUCAAUUUCACGCUAUAUGUUACUUUGAGUUUGCAAUUUCACAUUAUACUUUGUUUCUUUUAAUUUCUUUUUGUGUUGCACUUGUAUAACUCUUUUCACGUUAGUUAUUACUUAUUAUUAUUUCUAUUUUAUGAGCUCUAUAAAGUUAUAUAAUUAUUUUGUCAUUUUAAAUUAUUAAAGAAGUCAUAUAUUUAUUUUAUGAGUAUCUUUUAUUAGUAAAUUGAAAAUCAAAAUUAAUAAAUAUAAUCUUAUUAAUUUAGUAUAUUUAUAAACGAAAUCAAUAAUAUAUAAAAUCAAAUCGAACAAAAUAGACUAUAAGCACAUGGACAAAAUAUUACAUUAUCUUGUGGUAACCACUGGUCACCUUGGGAUCACGCUUAUCUCUCCACGUGUCAUACGAAGCUUCUAUUGAUAUCGAAUAUAUCUCCAUUAAUUUUUAUUUGCCUAUCACAUUAAUUAGAAAAAUUACAUGUUUAUUUUAUUUGUUGAUUUAUAAAGUUAAAAGAUAAUUUAAUUUACUUACUCAAUUUGUUUCUAUAUCUAUAUUUUUUGCCACUUCACUUUACGAAUUCAAUUUCUUGAGAGAGGUAUUGAAAAUAUUUUUCAAUUCAUGUAUGAAACGCUAAUUUCAUUUUCAAAAUUAUUGAAAAUCUUAAAAGACAUCUCUUUAUUUGAUUAAUUGAAUUUAAAUACAACUCGAUCUCUAAUAUAACAUAGUUGAUGGUCUCUUUAUUACUUUCUCUGUUUAUUUUUACUUGUCAAUUAUUCUUAAAAUAAAAUUUUCAUUGUACUCGUCACUUUUGACAUACAAAAAAAAACAAAAAUAUUUGUUCAUGUUUACCCUCAAUAUUAAAUACCGUUCCUUCAAAUUAUUUAGACUUAAUAGUUAAUACUAAACAUAUCUGUGACAAAUAAUUGUGAGGAACAAGCAAGCCUCUCACCAUUAACAUAAUCAUUUAGCCAUGGAAUACGACAAAGUGGCCAGGAAUGAAGAAAUAUUUUGGAGGCAGAGAUCCAGAGUCCAGUCGAUAAAAUGUGGUUAUAAAAACACUAAGUUUUUUCACAGAAUGGCCACUGCACGUAAAAGACUCAACACUAUAGAUUCCUUGUUGAUCAAUGGAGAACUAUCUAGUGAUCUUGUGGCUAUCAAGGGCUCCAUUGUGGAUUUUUAUCAAGAUCUCUACAAAGAAUCAGAAAAUUGGAGACCUUAUUUGAAUCUUUAUGAAGUACAAGGCAUUUCAACAGAAGAAAGAAACAACCUUGAGAGAGGUUUUGAGGAAGAAGAGGUAUUGGCAGGGAUAAAGAUAUGUGCUGCAGAAAAAGCACAUGGAUCAGAUGGCCAUAUCAUGGCUUUCUUUCAAGCUUUCUGGGAAACAAUAAAAGAAGAACUGAUGCAGACAUUCCACAUAUUUCACCCUCACCACAAGUUUGAGAAAAGCUUCAAUGCCACCUUUGUAGCUUUGAUUCCUAAGAAGGUUGGAGCAAAUGAUCUAAGAUAUUUCAGACCCAUUAGUCCAAUCUCCAGGGUCUACAAAAUCAUAGCAAAGGUGUUGGCUGAGAGAUUAAAGAGGGUGAUAAGCAGAGUUGUAAACAACCACCAGAUGGCUUUCAUCAAAUGGAGGCAACUAAUGGAUGUUGCUCGUAUUGCUAGUGAAUGCAUCGACACCAGGAUUAGAGGAGAUGUGCCUGGAGUUAUGUGCAAAUUAGAUAUUGAAAAGGCCUUUGACCACCUGAACUGGAGUUUCUUGUUGACCACUCUCAGGCAAAUGGGAUUCGGGAGAAGGUGGACUAAGUGGAUAGAAUUUUGUAUCAAUAUUACCAGGUUCUCCUUUCGUUACCAUUUUCAAAAAAAAUAUUACCAGGUUCUCCACUCUGAGACAAAGGGAUCCCUUGUCCCCCCCCUUUCCUGUUUAUCAUAGCUAUGGAAGGGCUAGGCAGUCUAAUGAAAAGCUGCAACAAACAACUGGAUAAAAGGCUUCAACAUUAAGAACAGAAACAAUGAAAUCAUGGAGGUGACUCACUUAUUAUAUGCCGAUGACACUGUGGUUUUCUGCAAAGCUGAACAAGAACAAAUUUGCUACCAAAGGGUGAUACUGGUGAUCUUUGAAGCUUGCUUUGGGUUGAAGAUUAACUAGAGGAAAAACAAUAUUUUUCCAGUGAAAGAGGUGCAACAAAUUCAGUCUCUGGCAGAUAUUUUGAGGUGCAGGAUAGAGGAGCUGCCCACAAAUUAUUUGGGAAUGCCAUUGGGUGCUAAUCACAAAGUUGUGAAUAUAUGGGAUGGAAUAAUAGAGAAAACAGAAAAAAAAACUAGCUCUUUGGAAAUCACAAUACCUUUCCCUGGGGAGUAGAGUUGUUUUGAUCAAUGCAGUCCUAGAUUCUCUGCCAACAUAUGUAAUGUCUUUAUUUACCAUCCCCGGUGAGGUGGUGGAAAUCUUAGACAAGUUGAGGAGGGAUUUCUUAUGGCAAGGAAGCAAGAUUGAGAAAAGUUUCAACCUGAUAAAAUGGAGCACAGUUCAGCAAAGCAAGUUUUGGAGGUCUAAGAGUGAGGAACUUAAAGCUUCAUAAUAAGAGUUUACUUAUCAAAUGGCUAUGGAGAUUUACUCAAGAAAAUCAGUCCUUGUGGAGGGAGAUUAUCCUUCAUGAGUAUGGUCCGGAGGGGCAGUGGUGCACUAAUAAAGUGACUAAUACAUAUGGGGUUGGGGUUUGGAAAUCUAUCAGGAAUCUAUGGAUGACUCUCAAGCUAAACACUAAAGUUAGAGUUGGUAGGGGAGACAAGAUACUUUUUUGAGAAGAGGACUGGAGUGGUCAUGGCACACUUCACUCCCUUUUUCCUGAACUGUUCUAAAUAAGCUUGAAUACUGGAUGCAGUAUACAAGAAAUGUGGUCCCCUCAAGGGUGGAACCGGACUUUCAGAAGACCCCUAAAUGAUUGGGAAAUACCAUGGGUGGUAGAUUUUCUAAAACUAAUAGGAAACUUCCCGGGCACUAAUACAGAUGGAAUUCUCACUAUUAACAAAGUAUACACAAAAGGGGACUGAGUGUUGCUACUGGCAGGUCAACUGGACCUUGGAUUACUAUAUGGAAGAGUGUGGCUCCUAAUAAAGUGAAAUGCUUCACUUGGCUAGUAGCUAGGAAAGCAUGCUUGACACAUGAGGCAUUGCAAAAAAGGAGGCACUAGAAACCAACAAACACCUUUUCAUGCAUUACAAAGUAACGACACAAGUUUGGGCUAUGUUCACUUCGAUUGCUGGAAUCAACUGGAUCAUACAUGAACAUACUACAUAUUUGCUUAGCUGUUGGAUCAGAAGAGGAGGAAGCAAAAGCCAAAAAAAAAUGGUGGAGGACAGUCCCAACCUGCAUUUGGCGGACCAUUUGGAAGGAGAGGAACCAGAGGAUCUUUGAAGGAAAAGAAUCCUCUAUUUUGAAGGUUAAGUGGAAAGUUAUUACUUCACUAGGUUUUUGGUGUAAAGAACAGAGUAUAGAAGAAGAAAUCCAACUAGUGGACUUUAUAGGCUCUUUGUAAGUAUCUCUCUUUUCUUUUUUGUAAAUUUUUUGGAGGUGGCCAGCAUAGCCUUAAUGUUGAAUGAAUACAAUUUACCAAUUUCAAAAAAAAUAAAACUGAAGGUUAAAAGGAAAAGUGAGCAAUCAGUAAGAUAGUGAAAUUAAUAUUUAAUAUUUAUCUAAGGCUAAAAAUAAUAAAUUAUUAUAAUUUUAAUAGAUUAUCAAUUUACCCAAUAAUUCAUAUUACAAACUCAAAAUCCAACCAAUAACUUGUUAAUGGAAAAACUGUGAGAAGCAAAGGGUGGAAAGAAAUGGAGUGGAAAAUUAACAGAAAAUAAGAUUUUGCAGUGAAUUAAAGCUUCCCCUGAAAAAUCUUGUAGGUUCUCUCUCUACCUUAUUUAUCUUUAUAUAUAUUUCCUAACUUACUUUUCUUUCUUUGAAUUGAUUCGAGUGUUUCCUUUUUUCUUAAUAACUGUAUUGAAUUACUCUUCUUUCAUCAAGAAUUGAAAAAGUAUUGAAUUUUUUUCCUUAUUGCCAAAUAUAGCUUCACCAAAAGGGUGAUGGGGAAAAAAUCCAUUCUUGGUGAAUAUUUUGAUGUAACACUCAUGCUUUCAAGGGGAUUUUCUAUUUGAUGUAUGGUAGGUAAAUGAAGGGGAAAAAACUAGAUCUUGCUUUGUUAGCUUCCUUAACUUUUGAGUUUUGAGCAUAUAGGGUUGUAUGUUGUAAAAGGGGUGUUUCUUGUUGUUGUAAACUAAAUUAUGAAAUUGAUUACUUUAUCCAAUAACAGAAGGAAAAAAAGGAAAACCCCAGAUCUUGAUUUGGCAUUAUAUUGAAUAAUCAGAUUCAAAGACAAAUUUUUAAAUUGGAUUUUAAAUGUAUAUAUCCCUGGUGAGAGUCUUUGUUGUACUAUCUGAGGUCAUUGGUCACUCCGAGUAUUGUUCUCAAUCAGAGUUCUCAGAGCUCUUUGUUUAUAGCCAAAAUUGCAAAGAGAAGUAAGGUUCCAAUUCUUCAACUCUAUGUUCAUUUUCGUUUCCUUUUCGAUUUGAUAUUUUGGCGAUGUGAUUUUGUGAUUCAUGGAAUGGGCAAUCUGUUUGUUUAGAAUGAAGACUAGUUUAAAAGGAAUAAUAAUGGUUUGCUAAAUAGGUGAAUUUGGGAUGAAAGAUGAUUUGUGUGAUUAAAGAAGCCUAAUUGAUUAAUGAUUUAGAAUAAGUUCUGUUUAAAUUAUGGAACAAGUUUUAUUGCAAUAUUAGUCUAUGAAUGAGGUUCAUGUAGGCAAAAUUUGAGACACAUUUGAUUGCUUGUGUGAUUUUAUUUGCUUUCUAAUAUCAUGUAUCCAUUUCCCGGAAAAAAACAAAUGUGAGAAUGGAGGGCGUUAAUGGACAGAUUUGUUUUAAACUCUUCUAUGCGCGUAAGGCGUAUCUUUGUCUUUACUUUGAGAAAAUGUAGAGUAUAACAUUUGGGAUAAGUUUGUGAUCUGAGAAACUGCUCCGGCCACAAAAUCUGAUAUUGUGAGCUUGUCAUUUUGUUUCAGUAUUCUUCACUUACACGAAUGAUUGAUUGUUUCGUGAUGUUCAGGCAAAUGAGGCGCAGUCGUGAGGUUUGGAAGAUGGGCACGGUAAAUUACCUGGAGGCACUGAAGUUGCAAGAGAAGCUGGCAUCUGAUAGAAAAGCUUUACAAAUUAUUAAUACCCUAUUAUCCCUACAACAUCCACCGACAUAUAUAGUUGGCAAAAGGGAAACAGUUCAUAAUCUACUCAUUCCUAAUUCCGAGCUCAAGUCCAUGGGGGUAGAACUUCACUAUACGCAUAGAGGAGGUGACAUUACUUUUCAUGGUCCUCACCAAGCGAUCUUAUAUCCCAUUGUUUCGUUGAGAGAUAUUGGUUUAGGGGCUAGAAUGUACGUUGAGAAGCUUGAGCUAACCAUGAUUGAAUUGGCAUCUAUGUAUGGUGUGAAAGCACAGGCUGGACAAAAAUGCGAAACUGGGGUUUGGGUUGAGGGCAGAAAGAUUGGCGCGAUUGGAGUUAGAAUUUCACCUGGGAUCACAUCUCAUGGAUUAGCAUUCAACAUGGACCCUGAUUUAAACUACUUUAAGCAUAUUGUGCCUUGUGGGAUUAGCGAUAAAGGUGUUAUGUCUUUGAAGAAUGAGACAGAUGUAGAGCUUCAUGCUGAAGAUGUGAUACAGGAGUAGUUGAUCGCUUGUUUUGUAAGAAUAUUUAGGUACAACGAUGUCGUUUUAAAAGAUAAGUUUGUGUUAUAAUUUGAUUAUAAGCACUAAUGUUACAUUAUGUGACUAAUUUUUGUAUAAGUAGACAUUGUUCAUUCAUUUGAUCAGAUUAGCAUUGUGGACGAGUAAGCGAUGAUAUCAAAAGCAGAUUUCUUGUGCUGUCCUUUGAAUUUUUAAUAUCCUUAUUUGUGGAUAUUUUUCACAAAGAGUUCUGUUUAUGAGGAACCUGAGUUCCUUUGACCCUAUGGAGGCACAGGUGAGUGAUACCAAAGUUUGUUGAAGACAUGACAAAGCAAAACAAACUCAAUGUAAUCCCAUAAGUAAAGUCUGAGAAGGGUAAGAUUAAAAGCCUUACACCUACUUUUGUGACGUAGAGAGAUUGUUUCUGAUUGACCCUCUAACUUCCAAGUUUGAGACCAUCAAUAUGAACGAGCUCUAAGGCCGACUCAAUAAGAUUGGGGGACUAAAUCGAAAUAUAAGAUAGGGCCCUAAUACUUUUAUUUUUUCAUUAUACAUACUUUUGUUUAAAAUCUAUUUUUCUAGCUUUUUUAGAUGUGAAAUCGUUAAUUAUUAUUUAUAAUCGAUUUGUUUAAUAAUUCCUUUUAAAUUAAUAAUCCACUCAAUCUCUCUUAAGACAUUGUUGAUCUUAAAUAAGAUUUAAAUCGAUUUUAGUUUCGAAAAACUUCUUUAGGAUGAGGUAACGGUUACAGCAAACAUUUUCUAUAAGCAAUAUGUAUAUUCUAGAUGGUAGGAAACUUUCACAACACCCAAAUCAGAAAAGACACAAUCUUGCUCGAUUCAACAAAAACCCAGGAAAUAAGGCGAUCUUAACGGCGGUAGAAAACCCAUUUACCUAACCCUAAAACUGGGAAUCAAAAGAACAAUAAUAUCAUCACAAUCAACUAACAAUUCUGAAGGGAAUAUACACAUAAAGCAAGAUUUAAAAGAAAAGGAAUAAAACAUGGCAAAAAAGUAGACAAUUACUCACAAAUUAGUCAAUCAAAAAAAGUUUUAAAAAGCCGAAAUUGGUAAAGUAAGCCAGGAAAUUUCCCGACCGGCAAGAAGAAUAGGGUUCUUACCGGUAAUCGGCGGGUGGGUCGGAGGAGACAGGAGAGAUUGCGGCCUCCGAACAGUGAAAAGAGAGAAAGUGUAAGAAGUGUUUUUGGGUUUUGAUUUCUGUCUGUGAAAUUUUCUC
rnacentral:lncRNA from 1 species